GUGCCAGCAGCCGCGGUAAUACGUAGGUCCCGAGCGUUGUCCGGAUUUAUUGGGCGUAAAGCGAGCGCAGGCGGUUAGAUAAGUCUGAAGUUAAAGGCUGUGGCUUAACCAUAGUACGCUUUGGAAACUGUUUAACUUGAGUGCAAGAGGGGAGAGUGGAAUUCCAUGUGUAGCGGUGAAAUGCGUAGAUAUAUGGAGGAACACCGGUGGCGAAAGCGGCUCUCUGGCUUGUAACUGACGCUGAGGCUCGAAAGCGUGGGGAGCAAACAGG
rnacentral:rRNA from 1 species